AUUGAACGCUGGCGGCAGGCCUAACACAUGCAAGUCGAACGAGUGGCGGACGGGUGAAUAGUGUCUGGGAAACUGCGUGAUGGAGGGGGAUAACUACUGGAAACGGUAGCUAAUACCGCAUACCAUGGGAUGUGCCCAGAGGGGAUUAGCUAGUAGGUGGGGUAAAGGCUCACCAAGGCGACGAUCCCUAGCUGGUCUGAGAGGAAGACCAGCCACACUGGGACUGAGCUACGGCCCAGACUCCUACGGGAUGCAGCAGUAGGGAAUAUUGCACAAUGGGCGCAAGCCUGAUGCAGCAAUGCCGCGUGUAUGAAGAAGGCCUUCGGGUUGUAAAGCACUGUCAGCGGGGAGGCGUUACUUAAAGAAGAAGCACCGGCUAACUCCGUGCCAGCAGCCGCGGUAAUAC
rnacentral:rRNA from 1 species